GCCGGGAUAGCUUAGCUGGUAGACGAUGAGGCUCUUGAUCUCAGGGCUGUGGGUUUGAGCCCCACAAAAGAUUCCUGCA